AAAUCAUGAUGAGGACAGUUUCUCAAAAGCUCUCCAAAUUGCUCUUAUGCCUCAAACAAGAUUUCUGCUUCAUAUUAUUGUAAGCAACAUAUUUUCAUCAUAAGAUU